rnacentral:rRNA from 1 species
AUUGAACGCUGGCGGCAGGCCUAACACAUGCAAGUCGAACGGUAACAGGAAGAAGCUUGCUUCUUUGCUGACGAGUGGCGGACGGGUGAGUAAUGUCUGGGAAACUGCCUGAUGGAGGGGGAUAACUACUGGAAACGGUAGCUAAUACCGCAUAACGUCGCAAGACCAAAGAGGGGGACCUUCGGGGCUCUUGCCCUCGGAUGUGCCCAGAUGGGAUUAGCUAGUAGGUGGGGUAACGGCGCACCUAGGCGACGAUCCCUAGCUGGUCUGAGAGGAUGACCAGCCACACUGGAACGGAGACACGGUCCAGACUCCUACGGGAGGCAGCAGUGGGGAAUAUUGCACAAUGGGCGCAAGCCUGAUGCAGCCAUGCCGCGUGUAUGAAGAAGGCCUUCGGGUUGUAAAGUACUUUCAGCGGGGAGGAAGGGAGUAAAGUUAAUACCUUUGCUCAUUGACGUUACCCGCAGAAGAAGCACCGGCUAACUCCGUG